rnacentral:rRNA from 1 species
CCUACGGGAGGCAGCAGUGAGGAAUAUUGGUCAAUGGGAGCUAUCCUGAACCAGCCAAGCCGCGUGCAGGAUGACGGCUCUACGAGUUGUAAACUGCUUUUGUACCGGGGUAAAAUGCCUUACGUGUAGGGUUUUGCAUGUACGUUACGAAUAAGGAUCGGCUAACUCCGUGCCAGCAGCCGCGGUAAUACGGAGGAUCCGAGCGUUAUCCGGAUUUAUUGGGUUUAAAGGGAGCGUAGGUGGAUUGUUAAGUCAGUUGUGAAAGUUUGCGGCUCAACCGUAAAAUUGCAGUUGAAACUGGCAGUCUUGAGUACAGUAGAGGUAGGCGGAAUUCGUGGUGUAGCGGUGAAAUGCUUAGAUAUCACGAAGAACUCCGAUUGCGAAGGCAGCUCACUGGACUGCAACUGACACUGAGGCUCGAAAGUGUGGGUAUCAAACAGGAUUAGAUACCCGUGUAGUC